rnacentral:tRNA from 1 species
GCAUUGGUGGUUUAGUAGUAGAAUUCUCGCCUUCUAUGCCGGAGAUCCAGGUUCAAUUCUCAGCCAGUGCA